GGUUUGAUUCUGGCUCAGAUUGAACGCUGGCGGGAUGCUUUACACAUGCAAGUCGAACGGCAGCACGGACUUCGGUCUGGCGAGUAGCGAAAACGGGUGAGUAAUGUAUCGGAACGUGCCUGUAGUAGCGGGGGAUAACUACGCAGCGUAGCUAAUACCGCAUACGCCCUUCGGGGAAAGCAGGGGACCUUCGGGCCUCACCCACUAUGAGCGGCCCGAUAUCGGAUUAGCUAGUUGGUGGGAAUGGCGCAGCUCGCAAGGCGACGAUCCGUAGCUGGUUUGAAGGACGACCAGCCACUGGGACUGAGACACGGCCAGACUCCUACGGGAGGGGCAGCAGUGGGGAAUUUUGGACAAUGGGGGAAACCUGAUCCAGCCGUAUCUCCCGCGUGUGCGAUGAAGGCCUUCGGGUUGUAAAGCACUUUUGGCAGGAGGAAAGAAACGGCACGGGAUAAUACCCCGUGCAACUGACGGUACCAGCAGAAUGAGCACCGGCCAACUACGUGCCAGCAGCCGCGGUAAUACGUAGGGUGCAAGCGUUAAUCGGAAUUACUGGGCGUAAAGCGUGCGCAGGCGGUUCGGAAAGAAGAUGUAGAAAUCCAGAGCUUAACUUUGGAACUGCAUUUUUAACUACCGAGCUUCAAGUGUGUCAGAGGGAGGUGGAAUUCCCACCGCGUGUAGCAGUGAAAUGCGUAGAUAUGCGGAGGAACACCGAUAGCGAAGGCAGCCUCCUGGGAUAACACUGACGCUCAUGCACGAAAGCGUGGGAGCAAACAGGAUUAGAUACCCUGGUAGUCCACGCCCUAAACGAUGUCAACUAGCUGUUGGGGCCUUCGGGCCUUGUGUACAACUAACGCGUGAAGUUGACCGCCUGGGGAAGUACGGUCGCAAGAUUAAAACUCAAAGGAAUUGACGGGGACCCGCACAAGCGGUGGAUGAUGUGGAUUAAUUCGAUGCAACGCGAAAACCUUACCUACCCUUGACAUGUCUGGAAUCCCGAAGAGAUUUGAGGUGCUCGCAAGAGAACCGGAGCACAGGUGCUGCAUGGCUGUCGUCAGCUCGUGUCGUGAGAUGUUGGGUUAAGUCCCGCAACGAGCGCAACCCUUGUCAUUGGGUGCUACGAAAGGGCACUCUAAUGAGACUGCCGGUGACAAACCGGAGGAAGGUG
rnacentral:misc_RNA from 1 species